GUUUGUGUGGUGUAGUUGGUUAUCACAUUAGUCUCACACAUUAAAGGUCCUUGGUUCAAACUCGAGCUCAAACA